rnacentral:lncRNA from 1 species
UAGCAGUCACACUUCCAGAUAUAUAUACAAAAGAACUGUAAGUAGGAGCUGGGUACAGUGACUCACACCGUAAUUCUAGCUACUCUGGAGGUUGAGACAGGAGGAUUGCAAGUUCAAGCCCAGCCAGGGCAACUUAGUGAGAUCAUGUCACUAAAAGAAAAGGACCAAGAAUGUAGCUCAGAAAUAGAGCACUCCUGGGUUCAAUCUCCAGUUUCCCCCCUCCACGAAAAAGAAAAAGAAAAAAAGAUAGGGUCUUGAAAAGAUAUUUGCAGUUCAACAUUCCUAGCAACAUUAUUCCCAAAGGCCGAAAGGUGGAAAUAACCAUUCAUAGACGAAUUGACAGACAAAAUAUGAAAUAUGCAUACAACGGAAUAGAAUUCAGCCCUAACAUAUAAGGAAAUUCUGACAUAGGCUACAAAAUAGAUGGACCCUGAGGAUAUUAUCUAAGUGAAAUAAGCUAGCCACAAACCAAAUACUGCAUAAUUCCUCUUGUAUGAGGUACUUGGAGUAGUCUAAUUCAAAGAGAGAGUACAAUAGUGGUUGCCAGGGGCUGGAGGAAGAAGGACCAGGGGAGCUGUUUAAUAGGUAUGGAGUUUUAGAUUUGCAAGAUGAAAAGAGUUCUGGAGAUUGGUUGUACAACAAUGUGACUAUAAAUACUACUGAAC